GACGAACGCUGGCGGCGUGCCUAAUACAUGCAAGUCGAACGAGUGGCGGACGGGUGAGUAACACGUGGGAACCUACCCAUCAGAGGGGGAUAACUACUGGAAACGGUGGCUAAUACCGCAUACUAUCGGCUGAACCCAUAUUGGAUUAGCUAGUAGCGGGGGUAAAGGUUCACCUAGGCGGCGAUCUCUAGCUGGUCUGAGAGGUUGAUCAGCAUCAGUGGGACUGAGACACGGCCCAGACUCCUCCGGUAGGCAGCAGUGGGUAAUAGUGCACAAUGGGCGCAAGCCUGAUGCAGCCAUGCCGCGUGUAUGAAGAAGGCCUUAGGGUUGUAAAGUACUUUCAGCGGGGAGGCGUUACCCGCAGAAGAAGCACCGGCUAACUCCGUGCCAGCAGCCGCGGUAAUAC
rnacentral:rRNA from 1 species